rnacentral:tRNA from 1 species
GGGGUGUUGGUGUAGUCGGUUAACACGCCGCCCUCUCAAGGCGGAGACCACGGGUUCAAGUCCCGUACACCCUG